AGGACGACGCUGGCGGCAUGCCUAAUACAUGCAAGUCGAACGAACACUUCGAGUGUUAGUGGCGAACGGGUGAGUAACACGUAAGUGACCAACCCAUUAGACGAGGAUAACUACUGGAAACGGUAGCUAAAACUGGAUAGGUACUACGGUAUUAAAGAACCUUUCGGGGGUUCACUAAUGGAUGGGCUUGCGGCGCAUUAGCUAGUUGGUAGGGUAAAGGCCUACCAAGGCGACGAUGCGUAGCCGACCUGAGAGGGUGACCGGCCACACUGGGACUGAGAACGGCCCAGACUCCUACGGGAGGCAGCAGUAGGGAAUCUUCGGCAAUGGACGAAAGUCUGACCGAGCAAUGCCGCGUGGGUGAAGAAAAGGUCUUCGGAUCGUAAAGCUCUGUUAUGAGGGAAGAAAGGUAGCGAGAGGAAAUGCUCGUUAAUUGACGGUACCUCAUGAGAAAGCCACGGCUAACUAUGUGCCAGCCGCUGC
rnacentral:rRNA from 1 species